AGAGUUUGAUCCUGGCUCAGGAUGAACGCUGGCGGCGUGCCUAACACAUGCAAGUCGAGCGAUUCUUUAUGAAGUACUUGUACUACAUAAAGAGUAGCGGCGGACGGGUGAGUAACGCGUGGGUAACCUGCCCUAAACAAUGGGAUAGCCCUCCGAAAGGAGGAGUAAUACCAUAUAACACAUUUUUAAGGCAUCUUUAAAAAUGUCAAAGAUUAUCGGUUUAGGAUGGACCCGCGUCUGAUUAGCUAGUUGGUAAGGUAAAAGCUUACUAAGGCGAUGAUCAGUAGCCGACCUGAGAGGGUGAUCGGCCACACUGGAACUGAGACACGGUCCAGACUCCUACGGGAGGCAGCAGUGGGGAAUAUUGCACAAUGGGGGAAACCCUGAUGCAGCAACGCCGCGUGAGCGACGAAGGCUUUCGAGUCGUAAAGCUCUGUCCUAAGUGAAGAUAAUGACGGUAACUUAGGAGGAAGCCCCGGCUAACUACGUGCCAGCAGCCGCGGUAAUACGUAGGGGGCAAGCGUUAUCCGGAAUCAUUGGGCGUAAAGGGUGAGUAGGCGGCAAUAUAAGUCAGAGGUGAAAGGCUACGGCUUAACCGUAGUAAGCCUUUGAAACUGUAUAGCUUGAGUAUGGGAGAGGAGAGUGGAAUUCCUAGUGUAGCGGAACACCAGUGGCGAAGGCGACUCUCUGGACCAUAACUGACGCUGAGUCACGAAAGCGUGGGGAGCAAACAGGAUUAGAUACCCUGGUAGUCCACGCCGUAAACGAUGAGUGCUAGGUGUUGGGGGUCAAACCUCAGUGCCGCAGCUAACGCAUUAAGCACUCCGCCUGGGGAGUACGAUCGCAAGAUUGAAACUCAAAGGAAUUGACGGGGACCCGCACAAGCAGCGGAGCAUGUGGUUUAAUUCGAAGCAACGCGAAGAACCUUACCUGGACUUGACAUCCCUAUGAAAGUGCUUAGCCGGCAUGUUCUCUUCGGAGACAAAGGAGACAGGUGGUGCAUGGUUGUCGUCAGCUCGUGUCGUGAGAUGUUGGGUUAAGUCCCGCAACGAGCGCAACCCUUGCCUUUAGUUGCCAACAGGUAAAGCUGGGAACUCUAAGGGACUGCCGGGGAUAACUCGGAGGAAGGUGGGGAUGACGUCAAAUCAUCAUGCCCCUUAUGUUCAGGGCUACACACGUGCUACAAUGGUCGAUACAAAGGGAAGCGACAGAGCAAUCUCAAGCAAAUCCCAUAAAGUCGAUCCCAGUUCGGAUUGCGGGCUGAAACUCGCCCGCACGAAGUUGGAGUUGCUAGUAAUCGCGAAUCAGAAUGUCGCGGUGAAUGCGUUCCCGGGUCUUGUACACACCGGCCCGUCACACCACGGAAGUCGGGAUGCACCCGAAGCCAGUUAAUAAAAACUGUCGAAGGUGAAAUCGAUGACUGGGGUGAAGUCGUAACAAGGUAGCCG
rnacentral:rRNA from 1 species